rnacentral:lncRNA from 1 species
UUUAGAGAACCCUCCCUCCCAACACCAGCCAGCUCUUGUCUCCACACUCUCAUUUGGCUUCUAAGAGCUUCCAGAGCUCAGUUUUUCAGAUCCCCAGGGUUAAGAGGUAGAAACAGACCUCAUUUCUUCCCUAGAUAUUUCCAGCCGGAGGCUCCACAUAUCCCAGGUCUCAGAGCUCCCGGCAAGCCCUCACAGGGCUGUCCAAGAAGACUUCUGUGCUCCAGCCGCAGCUGAGGCCAGUGGAAGCUUCCAUCCUGUCAACGAUGGCCCCUUAGGGACAAGGGGGCAGGGAAGAGCAAGAGGAAUGUGUCCUCGUGAUCACCAUCUGCUGAGGGGAGCCCACUGGAGUUUUAGAUCCUCCCUCCCAAGCCAGAAGUUUCUUCUUGGAAGGGAAGGUGGAGGACAGCUGAAGCUGGGGAAAGACUGUUAAUGCCAUCAGGUUUUUCUGAGUCAUUGGGCGAGAUCGGGCCCCUCCAGCCAGUUGCACAGGCGUGUUCUGAGCCUCUCUGUCUGCCUAGGGCCCCUCCUCCAUUUGCAGUUCUGGAGGAGCUGGGAGCCUCCUCUGAAACGGAAGAAUAUCGUGGAGAUGGAGUGGUUGGGAGAAAAGCCCACAUUUAGUUCGCGGAUGCUGUCCUCUUCGUCACCAUUAACCCCACCGAGCAGAGCGGUCACAGCCUCCCUGGGCUCUCCAUGCCUUCCAUGCCAGUGCUCUGAGACAUUCCAGAUCUUCAGUCAAGCUCUUCUCCUCCUCCAUUCUCAGAGCCUGAAGAAGAAUUUCUGCCUGCAGAAAGUCAACUGCUUUUUCCAGCGCAGGGCAGAACCGACCUUGGAGUCCUGGAGAGUUCCAGGGGUCCUGUAAGGCCGCGGCUGUUCACUUCCCUUCAAUAAAUUUUCCUGC